rnacentral:rRNA from 1 species
UCGAGAAUUUUUCACAAUGGGCGCAAGCCUGAUGGAGCGACGCCGCGUGGGGGAUGAAUGGCUUCGGCCCGUAAACCCCUGUCAUUUGCGAUCAACCGUUAUUAUUUAAAAGAUGAUAACCUGAUAGUAGCGAAAGAGGAAGGGACGGCUAACUCUGUGCCAGCAGCCGCGGUAAUACAGAGGUCCCAAGCGUUGUUCGGAUUCACUGGGCGUAAAGGGUGCGUAGGUGGCGGGGUAAGUCGGAUGUGAAAUCUCGGAGCUCAACUCCGAAAUGGCAUUGGAAACUACCCUGCUCGAGGAUUGGAGGGGGGACUGGAAUACUUGGUGUAGCAGUGAAAUGCGUAGAUAUCAAGUGGAACACCAGUGGCGAAGGCGAGUCCCUGGACAACUCCUGACACUGAGGCACGAAAGCUAGGGGAGCAAACAGG